rnacentral:rRNA from 1 species
GGGUAAACGCUGGCGGCGUGCCUAAAACAUGCAAGUCGAACGCGCACCUUCGGGUGCGAGUGGCAGACGGCUGAGUAACGCGUGGGUGACGUACCUGUUAGUGGGGAAUAACUGCCCGAAAGGGUGGCUAAUUCCGCAUACGCCCAGUUUUUCAGUGGACUGGGGAAAGGCUUCGCAAGCGGCGCUAAUGGAGCGGCCCGCGUUCGAUUAGCUAGUUGGUGGGGUAACGGCCUACCAAGGCGACGAUCGANAGCUGGUCUCAGAGGAUGAUCAGCCAGACUGGGACUGAGACACGGCCCAGACUCCUACGGGAGGCAGCAGUUAGGAAUUUUGGGCAAUGGGCGAAAGCCUGACCCAGCAACGCCGCGU